rnacentral:rRNA from 1 species
UCAUACGGAGGAUCCAAGCGUUAUCCGGAUUUACUGGGCGUAAAGAGUUGCGUAGGUGGUCUGUUAAGCAAAUAGUGAAAUCUUGUGGCUCAACCAUAAGGCUAUUAUUUGAACUGGCAGACUCGAGAAUGAGAGAGGUCACUGGAAUUCCCUGUGUAGGAGUGAAAUCCGUAGAUAUAGGGAGGAACACCAAUGGCGUAGGCAGGUGACUGGCUCAUUUCUGACACUGAGGCACGAAAGCGUGGGGAGCGAACGGGAUUAGAUACCCCGGUAGUCCACGCCGUAAACGAUGGAUGCUAGCUGUUAGGAGUAUCGACCCUUCUAGUAGCGAAGCUAACGCGUUAAGCAUCCCGCCUGGGGAGUACGGUCGCAAGAUUA